rnacentral:rRNA from 1 species
GAGUUUGAUCCUGGCUCAGAAUGAACUGCUGGCUGGCAUGCUCUAACACAUGCAAGUCGAACUGAAGGCUUCUGGCCUUAGUGGCUGCACUGGGUGCUGUAACUGCUGUGGGAAUCUGCCCUCAGGUUCGGAAUAACAGCGAGAAAUUGCUGCUAAUACCGGAUGAUAUCGCGAGAUCAAAGAUUUAUCGCCUGAGGAUGAGCCCGCGUAGGAUUAGCUAGUUGGUGUGGUAAAGGCGCACCAAGGCGACGAUCCUUAGCUGGUCUGAGAGGAUGAUCAGCCACACUGGGACUGAGACACGGCCCAGACUCCUACGGGAGGCAGCAGUGGGGAAUAUUGGACAAUGGGCGAAAGCCUGAUCCAGCAAUGCCGCGUGAGUGAUGAAGGCCUUAGGGUUGUAAAGCUCUUUUACCCGGGAUGAUAAUGACAGUACCGGGAGAAUAAGCUCCGGCUAACUCCGUGCCAGCAGCCGCGGUAAUACGGAGGGAGCUAGCGUUAUUCGGAAUUACUGGGCGUAAAGCGCACGUAGGCGGCUUUGUAAGUUAGAGGUGAAAGCCUGGAGCUCAACUCCAGAAUUGCCUUUAAGACUGCAUCGCUUGAAUCCAGGAGAGGUGAGUGGAAUUCCGAGUGUAGAGGUGAAAUUCGUAGAUAUUCAGGAAGAACACCAGUGGCGAAGGCAGGCUCACUGGACUGGUAUUGACGCUGAGGUGCGAAAGCAGUGGGGAGCAAACAGGAUUAGAUACCCUGAGUAGUC